rfam:Reticulomyxa filosa solexa78113_1.exp, whole genome shotgun sequence.
UGCAGGUGUCCGUCCUGCCAUGGCUGCGACGGAUGAAACGGGAAGCCGGUGCAAGACCGGCGCUGCCCCCGCAACGGUAAGGCCUGGGCGUAUACGCCUCAGGCAUCGCGAUAACCACUGCCCAUACGGCGGGAAGGUGCGAUGCUGGCAUGGCCAAGCCCGGAGACCGGCCUGCGA